GAAAAAAAUCCAUAAGAAACCCCUUUGGUAAGAUUUUCUUUAGUAUAAUUUGGCUUUGAUUUAUUUCCACCUUCUCUGUGGGAUUCGACCCCUACUUGCCCUAGCUCUUAGUCAUUGGUUUGAAGGGAUUUAUCUUGUAAUUUGAUCAAUGACUCGAUCAGUGACUGAUAUCGAAGUAGUACCGUGAGGGAAGGGUGAAAAGAACCCCCGUCGGGGAUUGAAAUAGAACAUGAAACCGUAAGCUCCUAAGCAGUGGAGGAGCCCAGGGCUCUGACCGCGUGCCUGUUGAAGAAUGAGCCGGCGACUCAUAGGCAAUGGCUUCGUUAAGGGAACCGACCGGAGCCGUAGCGAAAGUGAGUCUUCAUAGGGAAAUUGUCACUGCUUAUGGACCCGAACCUAGGUGGUUUAUCCAUGACCAGGAUGAAACUUGGGUGAAACUAAGUGGAGGUCUGAAUCAACUGAUGUUGAAUAAUCAGCGGAUGAGUUGUGGUUAGGGGUCAAAUGCCACUCGAACCCAAAGCUAGGUGGUUCUCCCUGAAAUGCGUUGAGGUGCAGUAGUUGACUGGACAUCUAGGGGUAAAGCACUGUUUCGGUGCGGGCCGCGAGAGCGGUACCAAAUCAAGGCAAACUCUAAAUACUAGAUAUGACCUCAAAAUAACAAGGGUCGAGGUCCGCCAGUGAGACAAUGCGGGAUAAUCUUCAUCGUGGAGAGGGAAAGAGCCCGGAUCACCAGUUAAGGCCGCUAAAUGACCGCUCAGUGAUAAAGGAGAUAGGGGUGUAGAGACAGCCAGGUGGUUUGCCUAGAAGCAGCCACCCUUGAAAGAGUGCGUAAUAGCUCAAUGAUUGAGCGCUCUUGCGCUGAAGAUGAACGGGGCUAAGCGAUCUAUCGAAGUUGUGGGAUGUAAAAAUGCAUCGGUAGGUGAGCGUUCCGCCUUAGGGGGAAGUGCCCGAAAACGAGAAUGUCGUAGACGAAGCGGAAGCGAGAAUGUCGGCUUGAGUAACGCAAACAUUAGUGAGAAUCCAAUGCCCCGAAAACCCAAGGGUUCCUCCGCAAGGUUCGUCCACGGAGGGUGAGUCAGUGCCUAAGAUCAGGCUGAAAGGCAUAGUCGAUGGACAACAGGUGAAUAUUUCUCUACUAGCCCUUGUUGGUCCCGAGGGACGGAGGAGGCUACGUUAGUUGAAAGAUGGUUAUCAGUUCAUAGAGAAAAUGCCUCGAGCCGAUGUUCGAGUACCAGGCGCUACGGCACUGAAGUAACCCAUGCUAUACUCCCAGGAAAAGCUCGAACGACCUUCAACAAAAGGGUACAUGUACCCGAAACCGACACAGGUGGGUAGGUAGAGAAUACCCAGGGGCACGAGACAACUCUCUUUAAUGAACUCGGCAAAAUAGACCCGUAACUUCGGGAGAAGGGGUGCCUCCUCACAAAGGGGGUCGCAGUGACCAGGCCCGAGCGACUGUUAACCAAAAACACAGGUCUCCGCAAAGUCGUAAGACCAUGUAUGGGGGCUGACGCCUACCCAGUGCCGGAAGGUCAAGGAAGUUGGUGACCUGAUGACAGGGGAGCCACCGACCGAAGCCUAGUGAACGGCAGCCGUAACUAUAACAGUCCUAAGGUAGCAAAAUUCCUUGUUGGGUAAGUUCCGACCCGCACGAAAGGCGUAACGAUCUGGGACUGUCUCGGAGAGAGGCUCAGUGAAAUAGACUUGUCUAUGAAGAUGCGGACUACCCGCACCUAGACAGAAAGACCCUAUGAAGCAUCACUGUUCCCUGGGAUUGGCUUUGGGCUUUUCAUGUGCAGCUUAGGUGGAAGGCAAAGAAGGCCUCCUUCCCGAGGGGUGGGGGGGGGGGUGAGCAAUCAGUGAUAUACCAUUCUGGAAGAGCUAGAAUUCUAACCUUGUGUCAAGACCUACGACGGUGGGCGUAGCCCAGUGAACGUCGGCCGUAACUAUAACAGUCUUAUGGUAGCGAAAUUCCUUGGCGGGUAAGUUCCGACUCGCACGAAAGGCAUAACGAUCUGGACACUGUCUCGGAGAGAGGCUCGAUCAAAUGGACUUGUCUGUGAAGAUGCGGACUACCCGCACCUGGACAGAAAGACCCCAUGAAGCUUCACUGUUCCCUUGGAUUGGCUUUGGGCUUUUCCUGCGCAGCUUAGGUGGAAGGCAAAGAAGGCCUCCUUCCGGGGGGGGGGCCGAGCCAUCAGUGAGAUACCACUCUGGAAGAGCUAGAAAUCUAACCUUGUGUCAGGACCUACGGGGGCGUAGGCCUCCCAAAAGGUAACGGAGGCGUGCAAAGGUUUCCUCGUGCCUGACGGAGAUUGGCCCUCGAGUGCAAAGGCAGAAGGGAGCUUGACUACAAGACCCACCCAUCGAGGAGGGACGAAAGUCGGCCUUAGAGAUCCGACGGUGCCGAGGGGAAGGGCUGUCACUCAAUAGAUAAAAGUUACUCUAGGGAUAACAGGCUGAUCUUCCCUAAGAGCUCACAUCGACGAGAAGGUUUGCCACCUCGAUGUCGGCUCUUCGCCACCUGGGGCUGUAGUAAGUUCCAAGGGUUGGGUUGUGCGCCCAUUAAAGCGGUACGUGAGCUGGGUUCAGAAUGUCGUGAGACAGUUCGGUCCAUAUCCAGUGUAGGCGUUAGAGCAUUGAUAGGACCUUUCCCUAAUACGAGAGGACCAGGAAGGACGCACCUCUGGUGUACCAGUUAUCAUGCCCACGGUAAAUGCUUGGUAGCCAAGUGCAGAGCGGAUAACUGCUGAAAGCAUCUAAGUAGAGGUGAGUGCUCACCCCAAGAUGAGUGUUCUCCUAUUCCAACUUCCCCAGAGCAUCCGGUAGCACAGCCGAGACGGCUAUGGGUUCUCUGUCCCUUCAUCUUUUUUUUUUCUC
rfam:Corchorus olitorius cultivar O-4 contig21890, whole genome shotgun sequence.